rnacentral:lncRNA from 1 species
AGAGCUUUCUCAAUUGGAUUUGGGGUUAUUCACAGCACUGUAAACAGCGUUAACGUGAAGAUAACGCGUGCCGGGGAGUGUGCCGUGGGUUACCACAAGCGAUGAAGGAUUUUGGGACGGUGCCAAGGCAGUUUCCCCCUCAGCGCACUGGUUUUUUUUUCCGGAAGAAUUACGCGAGAGCGGAAAAGUUGCAAUGGCAUCGCAGUUCCCUGCUCAGAAAAUGCCCAGGGAGUAAAGCACGGCCAAGUGGUGCCAUUCAACUGCGCCACAGCUGGGAGCAUCAGGGCCUGGGCAGAGAGAGGUGGAGCUCGGAGUCCCCCCGAUCCUCCCGCGGGCGUUGGCGUCUGCAGCGCCAUCGGGACGGGAUCCACGUCCCGGCUCCUUCCUCCAGAGGCCGAAAGCUCAGCCGACAGUUUCAUGCAGGAUAGUCACCUUUCCAAGGCAAUAGAAGCACUUGCCAAGAGCGGCUGGUGAAGAUGGCUCAGAAGCAAUGGCAGGAGUGCAGUGAAAAGUCUGGUCCAUCGAUCCGGCUUCCGGACACGGUAGGGAAGACGCACCUUUUGAUAAAACACCAAACACAGUAGUUUUCAUUCUUUGUGUUUUUCUGUGCUCCCAUUCGGAUUACCCCUGGAAGUAUUAUUUUUGCAAAAGUUAUCUAGGAGAGAAAUCAUAACUUGCUUUGCAUCCUUCUGCCUGGAAGGGUUGUGACACAGGGGAGGAAGGGGCUGGCCGGGGCCAGCCUUUGCUGAGCCUCAGCUCUGGCUGCUGCUCCUGCUUCCAGGGUAAACCCAAAAGCUGUCAUGGUGAAAAAAGCAGGCAGCCCUUCUGUCCUGAGUCACAGGGGCCAUUUCUUCCUAAGUGACUCAAGAUGGGAAAUCAUUCUUGGAGCUUCAGAAGAAAAAAAAGAAAAAACAUACAUACCUUGAUAGAUGUGUCUAUAUACACACACAUUUCCUUCCAUGAAGAAGAAACUCUUAGAAAUAUCAUGUCGUGUCUGGCUUCCUAGAGAGGAUCCUUAACUCUGGGCUACUGAAAUCAAAUGUCUGUGCGUUUAUAGACCAUUUCCCUUCUUUUUGUGUGCCUCCCACAGCGAUCUUCUCCCCUGCUCCAUGGCAAGAAGAGUUUGGUGACUUUGCUGCUCUGCUCUCUCAGGGGUGUUGCAGGCUGUGUAGCAGGGAGUGAAGCCUUUGUCGCUGCCCAUCAGACAUUUUCCUACAGAAUUCUCCCUGCAGUGAUAAAAGUAGACUUGUGUUAGUGAGCUGCCAAGUAGAGCAGGUAACAUGGGACAGGAACUGUUUCUGAGCUGCUGUUCACUAGCACGUGUUUCCCCUUUCCAGCAGAGCGCUGCCGCCCAAGAAGGGAUUUUUGUGGGUCAGCCAGAUGUGCUCCUGCCUCCCACUGAGGCUCUGAGCUGGAGCUGAGUUUGCGUUCCAGUUCAUUGGAACAGAGGGCAUCAGAAGUUUCCUCAGCUAUCUGAGGCACAGAGCCAUGGAACCAAGUAAGCCUGAGCUCCUGCGUGCUUGCUGUGAGCCUUGAGGUGAGUGUGCAUCAUUGCAGGCUUGGAACUUAUUGAAAUGCACUAAGGAAACCAGCUCUGGGGAGGGAGGGAGGGAGGGAAGUCCUUUCUUGACAUGUGCCAAUUAAUCUGUGAAACUCAUCCCGGCAGGACAGCGUGAAGACUGAAAGUGUAAGAAGAUGUGGGGUGCAAUGGAGAAUGUGGCAGGAGCAUCCAACACACGAGUGCACGAGUUUUGCUUUUUGCUUGGAUUGAAACUCAGAAGUUGUAAGGAAUUUGGGAAUGAGAUGGGACAUUUGAGAAGAAGAGGAAGGAGGAGAAGAAGUUGUUGUUACAGUCCUGACAAAAUCUUUUGUUCUAGCUAAUAAAAGAAGUUAGUUAAAAAAAA